UAUUUUGUGGCCGUACUUGCAUAUAUUUGUGCAACUUAAUAUAUAAUAUGUGCGUAUGUGAUAUAUUUUGAACAGGGCGUGUUUGCUUGAAAAAGUGCAUUUGAUUUUGUGAUUAUUAAUGUUCAGUGACUAAAAUUAUGUAUUAAAUUACUUAAUUAGACACUGUUAGUGCACGGAGAUGCUGUUUCAACUGCGACAAUAAGUGUGAUAAUGCUGUGAUAAUGGAAGCUGGGAGUGAAGCAAGUUAUUGUGAACGAGAACUCUAUGAUGAGUGGGGAAGCCGUUCUUCUCUCAGUCAACAAGAAGAUGUAAGUUAUUACUAGUUGAAUCAUGCGGCUC